rnacentral:ncRNA from 16 species
GGUUAGCUUGACGACUGGCGCAGGUGGGACACCACCGGGAAGCGACGUUUGCACGCAUCGACCGCCUGGGUGUUCCUC